rnacentral:lncRNA from 1 species
GGGAUGGCAACAGGGCCCCGCCCCCAAAAAAGGGGCGGCCCCUCCCCCCAAGGCGAAUUUUGGGGGGAUUUUGGGGCCUUUUUAACCCCCAAAAAAUCAAAUUUUUCACCCAUUUUGGUGCCUUUUAACCCCAAAACUUCUCAAAAAAUCAAAUUUUUUCCAUUUUAGCUCCUUUUUUCCCCAAAAAAUCAGAUUUUUUCCAUUUUGGGGCCAAUUUUAACCCCAAAACCUCCCCAAAAAUCAGAUUUUUGUGCGAUUUUUGCGACAUUUUUUCCCAAAAAAACCAGAUUUUUUUCCAUUUUUUUUUCCUUUUUCCCCCCAAAAUCAGACUUUUUCUGGUUUUCUCCACAAACCUCUCCAAAAAUCUGAUUUUUUUCCUUUUGGGGCCAAUUUUAACCCCAAAACCUCCAAAAAAAUUGGAUUUUUUUGCGAUUUCAGAGCCAUUUUUUCCCCAAAAAUCGGAUUUUUUCCAGUUUUCUCCCCAAACCUCUUAAAAUUUGAGAUUUUCUCAAUUUUGAGGUUCAAAAAAUCAGAUUUUUGUGCGAUUUUAGCGCCGUUUUUUCCCCAAAAAUCAGAUUUUUUCCAUUUUUGUGCCUUUUUAACCCCAAAACCUCUCUAAAAAUCAGAUUUUUUCCAUUUUGAGGUCAAUUUAAACCCCAAAACCUCCCCAAAAAUCAGAUUUUAGUGCAAUUUAGGUACCAUUUUUUCCCAAAAAUCGUAUUUUUGUGCGAUUUCAGCGCCGUUUUUUCCCCAAAAAUCAGAUUUUUUCCAUUUUGAGGCCAAUUUUAACCCCAAAACCUCCCCAAAAAUCAGAUUUUUGUGCAAUUUCAGCGCCGUUUUUUCCCCAAAAAUCGGAUUUUUUUCCAUUUUUCCCCCCAGGCCUCCCCCAGACCCGUUUUUGGGGGUGAUUUCAGGGGUCCCAGUCGUUGUCGUGGUGCUGGGCGGCGAUGAUGAUGACCACGGUGAGGAUGGUGCACAGGACGAUGGCGGCGAUGCCGACGGCCAGGCUGAUGAAGGAGAAGUUCCGCGCUUCCCGCGAGGCGAUCUCGGCGCUGGCGAUGUCCCCGCGAGCCACGGCCGCGCGCACCUGGAGACGGCGGGGAAAGUUCCGGAAAGUUAAAAAAAAAAAAUUUAAAAAAAUAAUAUAAAAAAAAAU